rnacentral:rRNA from 1 species
CGUGGCCUACGGGAGGCAGCAGUGAGGAAUAUUGGUCAAUGGGCGAAAGCCUGAACCAGCCACGUCGCGUGAGGGAAGACGGUCCUAUGGAUUGUAAACCUCUUUUGCCGGGGAGCAAAAAGCGGUACGUGUACCGCAUCGAGAGUACCCGGAGAAAAAGCAUCGGCUAACUCCGUGCCAGCAGCCGCGGUAAUACGGGGGAUGCGAGCGUUAUCCGGAUUUAUUGGGUUUAAAGGGUGCGCAGGCGGCGAGUUAAGUCAGCGGUACAAUUUCGGGGCUCAACCCCGACGAGCCGUUGAAACUGG